rnacentral:tRNA from 1 species
GGCAAAGUAGUUUAAUUAAAACAAAAUAAGAGCCUGUAAAGCUUUAGAUGGGGUCCUUUGCCA